AAACGUUAAAUAGAUUUACCUAUACUCGGUUACGGGCCGAGGAGAUUGUUCGUUUUUAG
rnacentral:tRNA from 2 species